ensembl:lncRNA
GAGAGAAAGAGGAAGAACACAGAGGGAGGACAUGUAGACGGUUGGUGUGACAGAGGAGGAUGCUAGGGUUAGGGUGGGAUGGAGCAACCACUGUGAGAACCUCUAAAGCGAGCGGCCAAAAGAGGAAGAAGCACAGUCUUCCAGCUAGCAGACCAGAAAGGUGAGUGUAAUUCUUUUUUUUUGAGAGUGAUUCUAUUUUUCCGAGGCAUUCCAGUCUGACACGUUAACAAACGCUUUAACCUUCAGGUCAGUCACACUGGAAGAAGUUAAAACGGUGAUCUCGCCUCAUUUGAACCCUGUCAAAGUGGAAUUUUCAAGGACUCGAUGCGGUCGAGAUCUUCUGCUCCCCCAUGUUUUAAAUAGGGUUAGGGUCCUAGGACUGCGGUCUCCUGGACAAAGAUCCUGGAAUCUGCUGGAGCCACUCUCCCAGUUUGGACGUUACUGCCCUGAGAGCUGUUACCACUGUUGCUUUCAGUUUCCACAUCUUCCCAUCUCUUCUCUAGCUCGUCCUUCAUCCCUUGGUAUUUCUUCUCAUGUCACCAUUUCCAGAUGUUGCUGUCACUCGGUAUACUGUAGCUACAUUCAUCAUUACGGUCGUCUUUCUCUUCUUGUCCACCACCACUAUAUCUAGCUAUCACCAGUUUGUCCAUCUGUAUCUGGAAGUUUGGUCAUUUUCAACCACCUUUAGGGUGUUUCAACACGCCAACUUAGCACAGUCUCAGCCACAGAGACUUUUUUUCCUUUGAAGAUGAGAUGACUGACACUUCUGCUACUGGUAAAAGAUAAUAUUAUUUGAUACUGAUAAAGAAAAUUUCACUAAGAUACAGCGCAGCCACGCUUUCCAGUGCCUCGGCAGAGAGACUGUUUAGCCUUGGGAAGCUUGUCUUCUCUCCAAAGUGGAACAGGCUCUCUGAUGAGAAGUUUGAGAAGCUCAUUGUUUUGAGACAUAACCACUGGUUUAAUGAAUAGCUGUAAAGGGUUGGGGAUGUGACAAAUAAGAAUUCUUUAUAUUAAAAAAAAUAGAGGACAUUAAAACAGGUCACUUUAACAGACAUCUACUGUGAGAACAACACUUGUGUGACUUGUGUUGGACUGCCAAUGGCAAACGACAGCCAUGGAGUUUACAUUUGUAUUACCUGUUUACAUUUUUAUACCUUGGUUAUGUUAUACAGUGCACGUACUUUCUCAGUAUUACAUUGAAAUCACUUCAGCUAUUUUACUUUUGUGUGGAAGAAAAUCCUUGUUCAGCCACUGAUGUCUGAAGCUGUGACAGUUUACAUUGCUUAAAAGCAUAAUUUAAUUUAACAACCAUUGAUAGCCAGUUGCAUCCUGUUGAUGUGCAAUAAUAUCGAAUGUUCUAAAACAACAUGUUUUAUUGUAUUAUUUAUUACAAAUAGAAAAUUAAUUCUAUCUACAAUUAUUAAAAUUGAUCUGAUUGGUGUUUUAUUUCACAUUAUCACAAAGCAACAUUUGAAUAGUUAAUAGUUUCCUGUUAGUUCCUUCUGUGGCCAUUUACUUCAGCUAUAUAUUCAGUUUUAUAACAAACAGUUGAAUAUAUAUUUUAGUAUGUUCAAGUAUGUUUAGUAAUUUAUAAUUUAGUAUUUUAGCAAGUUCCAUUAAGAGGAGAUUCAAGUUCUUUAAACAUUUUUAAAGUAACACAAUAGUUACUUUUCAUGGUAAUUGUUACUUUUAUAAUAUUGUAACUCAGUUACUUGAAGAAAUAACUAUAACUGAUUACUUGCCCAACACUGGUCAGGUUGGUACACAGCUGACAGCUCUAUUUGACAGCUGUUAGAAAUCAUAUUAUGGCAAGAACCAAUCAGCUAAGUAAAGAGCAACGACAGACCAUCAAUAUUUUAAGAACUGAAGCUCAGUCAGUUCAGAAAAUAGCUGAAACUCUGAAUGUGUCCCCAAGUGCAGUUGCUACGUGGAAACUGGAUGACACGAGGACUCUCAGGAAAGGAAGACCAAGAGUCACCUCUGCUGCUGAGGAUAAAUUCAUCUGAGUCAGCAGCCUCAGAACUCGCAAGUUAGCAGCACCUCAGAUUAGAGCCCAGAGCCCAGACGCUUCUCUACACC